UGGCUCAGACGGUAAAGCGUCUGCCUGCAAUGCAGGAGACCGGGGUUCGAUCCCUG
rnacentral:tRNA from 1 species